rnacentral:rRNA from 1 species
AGUGAACGCUGGCGGUAGGCCUAACACAUGCAAGUCGAACGGCAGCACAGUAAGAGCUUGCUCUUACGGGUGGCGAGUGGCGGACGGGUGAGGAAUACAUCGGAAUCUACUUUUUCGUGGGGGAUAAUGUAGGGAAACUUACGCUAAUACCGCAUACGACCUACGGGUGAAAGCAGGGGAUCUUCGGACCUUGCGCGAUUGAAUGAGCCGAUGUCGGAUUAGCUAGUUGGCGGGGUAAAGGCCCACCAAGGCGACGAUCCGUAGCUGGUCUGAGAGGAUGAUCAGCCACACUGGAACUGAGACACGGUCCAGACUCCUACGGGAGGCGGCAGUGGGGAAUAUUGGACAAUGGGCGCAAGCCUGAUCCAGCCAUACCGCGUGUGUGAAGAAGGCCUUCGGGUUGUAAAGCCCUUUUGUUGGGAAAGAAAAGCAGCAGGUUAAUACCCCGCUGUUCUGACGGUACCCAAAGAAUAAGCACCGGCUAACUUCGUG